ACUGUGCUGUGGGAGACCAAAGAUGACCAUGUGGGCAAUUUCACCAGAGCCAAUACAACGGCAGCGUUGCCUGGCAGAGGUCACAACAGCAGACACUACAGACGCUCAGAAAUUAUAAUCUUAUUUUAAAGUGAUCAUUCUUUAGAAACAUCGAUAUGGAAGCAAUUUAGCCUUUAGAAAGUCAAGCAAAUGUCACUGGUGAUGGAAUCACCACCAGAAACCACAAUAUGGGGUUGGCUCUGGACAAGACAGCUAAAGAAAUCUCGGGGUGAGAUCUGACUCUCUCUCUCUCUCUCUCUCUCUCUCUCUCUCUCUCUCUCUCUCUCUCUCCCCGCAGCAGGCAAGAACUUGCUUUGGUAAUAAAUACAGAUGAUUUCUCAGCGAGAAUUUCUGCAUACCACAUGAUUGUGCUCCUGAUAAAGAGGCCGUGCGUUCCAGGUAAAUUAAAGAAGUCAACCCUGUCUGUAGAAGCAGAAGCUGAUAAAGUCUUUCUGGCAGCUGAGGUCAACAAGUUCAAUGUCAUGUGUUACCUUGGCAUUUGGAAAAAAAUCAAAAGUGCCCAGCCUAGCUGAAAAUUCCCCCUUAUUUCUGCCGUUCCUUUAACAAACCCAGACAGAUAGCUCUCCUGGGCAAGUAUGCCAGGUGGUGCGCCAGAAUAUCUGUGCUAAUUUGUAAAUUCUCCACACAGUUCACACACAUCUUUUCUGAGGACCAGAGUGACCCCAGCCUUCUGCCUGCUCUCUUUAGCUUCCUAACCUUCUCCCUUCGAUCUCUGAGCCUUCUGUCUGCCCCUUCAACGUCUGCUAGUGUGUUCUUUUCCUAGGGCAGUCUACAUGGUGGUUUGGGGUGUUCUUUGAUGUCCCAAUCCCCUGGGUUAUGUUUCUGCAUUCUGAAGACCUGCUGUUGGAGCUGUCUGUACCAUUGCAGUGGUUUGGAUGAGAAUGGCCCCCCAUAGAGUCAUGUGUUUGAAGACUUGAUCUCCAGUUGGUGGACAAGUUUAGUAAGGAUUAACAGGUAUGGCCUUGAUGGAGGAAGUAUGUCACUCGGGAUGGACUUUAGGGUCUCAAAAAUUUGUGCCAUUCCCAGAAGGUUCUCUGUCUCCUACUUGAGAAAAAAGAUGUGAGCUCUCAUCUUCCUUUGCUCUGCCUUCACUUUAACCCUGUGAAACCACAAACCCAACCAACACUUCACUAUAUGACAGCAAUAGAAGCGAAACUAUGACACAAGUAUCAUGUCUUUGCCCACCUCCCCAACUCUAGAGUGAUAACUUCUCAUUCACCAAUAGGGAAAACAGGAAGUGAUUAAAACAGCCGCAUGUAUCAAGUUUUAAAUCUAUACAUUUCUUAACCUGGACAUUUCUUUACUAGUUAAAAUAUUAUUUUAAAGUAAUCCCAGAUGCAAAAACAGAGCCAGGAAGAAAUAAAAAGCACAUUUAUUGCAACAUUAUUCGUAAAAUUAACAACAAUGAAAAAAAAAAAACAAACAGAAACUACUUAAAUAACCAUCCAUAGAGGGAAUUGUGAAAUAAAUUGUGUUACUUAUUCUGCAACAGCUGAGGAGACAUGGAAAGACCCUGAAGGAGCUACAGCUAAGCAACACAUGUAGUAUGAUCCCACGGUGUUUAUUAGAACUAUAUGCACCAGCAGCUAUGCAGCUAUGAAGCUAUGGAGCUAUGCAUCUGCAGCUAUGCAGGCAUGUAUGUGCAUGCUAUGAGGCCUGGAAGGGAAAAGGCAAACAAGUUAAAGCGGAAGCUUCCUGUUUCUACCUCGUAACUUGAUAUUAUUCAACUCUUCUACACUGAAAUGUAUUUCAGUGUUGCCUAUGUGCAGGAAUCCAAGUUUUAAAAGCGAAAUGUCAUCAAAGUAUGUGUAAAUGCCAUACUGGCCAACAGCUUCUGGGACCAACAGCUGGUAAACACUGUCAUUUUAAGUGAAAUUGAUCAAUGAACUUAGCUUGAUCUGAAUAUUCCAGAAACCCGGAUGUGGGCUAUGUCUUGUUCUUUCUAGCCUGUUCAUCCCCCUUGGGUUCUCUAGAGAAUUCCUAAGCAGGGCGCCCCCACCCCCAUUCAUGUUUUCUGUAGGACAUACGACUGACUGAGCACCACUUAAUUCCUUUGUCAUGUCUCACUGACCAGAGGGAUUUUGUUUAGCUUCAUAUAGAACUUCAUGGUGUGUGUGUGUGUGUGUGUGUGUGUGUGCACGUAUACAUUUAUAAGAAACAAAAGCACUGCUUUGGCCAACCCAGAAUGAUUAUAAACAAUAGCUUCUCCAUCCUAAAUAUAAAAAUAUUCUUGAAUUGGAACAUAAAGUGAAUUAUGUAUUUUCUACUCCUUUUCCCUCCUUAAAGCAACUAAUGAAUAGUUAGAUACACAUGGUGGAUCCUGCAGAAUGUUACCAGAAUUCAGGCCACAACCAUGACAUGGUGAUCCGAAGCAGUCCUGGCCUCUAUGACCCCGGACGAAUCCCUCUUAUCUCCCCUGCAGAUCCACCCCAUCCACAAACAGGACCAGGACAACUCACCACGCUGAUUCCAUCAUUGAGCAGGGCCUCCCCGAAGAUCAUCAUGUAAAGCUGUUCAUUCACACGUGCCUCCUCAAAAACAGCCAGCACAGCCACGGGGUCGACCGCUGAGAUGAGGCUGCCAAAUAGCAGAUUGUGUAGCAGGUUGAUGUCACCAAGGCCAAAGGCCUUGAUCUGACAGAUGAAGUAGAGAGAGAGCCCAAUGCCAAAGGCAUUGAUCAGGGCUCCCAGGCCUGCCCACCACAGGAUGGAGCCAAUAUUCUCAAAGAAGGGCCUGGUGGGCAUGAAGUAGCCGCUUUCCAACACAAUAGGUGGGAGAAGGUAGAGGAAGUAAAUGCUUGAAUCCAUGACCGGAGGCGAUUUGUGGUGGGUGCCAAAAAUGAUGCCGCCCACCAGAGCUCCCACGAUGAUGAGGAGGCAGCUCUCUGGCAUGAGGUGCGGCAGCCUGUGGUAAAGAUGGAAACCUGGGAACACAGAGGGUGGGACCAUAAUCUGCCAAUGAACAGGACUGGGUCUAGCCAGAUUGAUCUAGCCCAACCUUCCUAAUGCUAUCCUUUAAUGCAGUUCCUCAUGUGGUGGUGAACCCAAUCAUAAAAUUAUUUUUGCUGAUACUUCAUAACUAUAAUAUUGCUACUGUUAGGCAUUUUAAUGUAAAUAUUAAAAUCCAUAAUUGUAAUGUUGUGGAGGUUCAUCUGGAAAGAAACACCUCGAUUUCAUUACAUAUUUGAUUUUGGGGUGACUUUAGGUCAGUAUUUUAGAAACCUUUUUAUUGUUGUUGCUAAAUUCUUCAUGAUUUGCCACAUUCCACUGCACAAGCACAGGACAAGGUUCGGAGCUGGGGUUUCCAAACCCUGUGUACCUUACUCUUAGUUCUGCCUAAGAUGUGUAAGGCACUCAAGGUACCCCAUGGAUUAAACUAAAGAUGUUUAUUGAGAAUUUGGUUGUAAAGACCAGCAUGCUGUUGAAUUUGAUAAGGUGGAAAGCCAAAGGUGUAGAUUACACUGCAACUCCCACUGUUGGCAAAGAUUUAAUAGUGAGAAAUGAAUAACUGAGAAGGUUGAAAUAGUAUGGCAUAUGAGGUUGUACUGGCUGGUUUGUGUCAACUUGACGGGAGCUAAUGUCAUCAGAUAGGAAGGAGCUUCAGUUGAGGAAAUGUCUCCAUGAGAUCCAACUGUAAGACAUUUUCUCAAUUAGUGAUCAAUGUGGGGGAGGGAUCCUCAGAGCAUUGUGGGUAGAACCAUUUCUAAGCUGGUGAUGACACUGAGUUCUAUUAUAAGAAAGGAGGUUGAGCAAGAGAUGAGGAGCAAGCCAGUAAGCAGCAUUCCUCCAUAGCCUUGCAUCAGCUCCUGCCUCCAGGUCCCUGCCCUGACCUCCUUCAAUAAUGAACAGCAAAAUGUAGUGUAAGCCAAAUAAACCCUUUUUCCCC
rnacentral:lncRNA from 1 species